ACUAGCUCUGUAGACCAGCCUGGCCUUGAACUCACAGAGAUACACCUGCCUCUGCCUCCCAAGAGCUGGGGUUAUUUUUUUUAAUGCAUACAAAUGUCUCUGCAAGCCACUAGAGGCCACCAAUCCCAUUAGAGAUGGUUGUGAGCCACCAUGUAUAUUUGACUGGGAAUUGAAGUGGGGACCUCUGGAAGAGCAGGCAGUGCUGUUAACCUCUGAGCCAUCUCUCCUGUACCCAGAAAAUAUUUUAAGAGCAAUUUUAUAUCAAAGAGUUGAAGGAUUGUGCUACUAAUAUUUUAUUUUCAACAAAUUACCUGUUUUGUUUUGUUUUUAACAUGGUAUCACUUUAUAGCCCUGUCUGGCCUGGAACUCACUAUGGAGACCAGAGUGGCCUUGAACUCACCUGCCUCCCAGGGGUGGCACAGGGAUUAAAGACCUGUGCUACCAGGCCUGGCUUCUGUAAAACACUGAUGACUCCUGCAAUAGGUAAUGAUUUUAAAGGUCGAAAUGUUACUGAUGAGACUUAAGCCACUAAGUGAUCAUCAGUUCCACAAAACAAUUCUAUAGAGAGGAAGACUUUUCCCAGGUGAUCAUUUGGAAAUGUUUGGGGGUAUUUUCCCUGGCAUCUAGGAGAAUAGAACUACUGAGUAUCUCAUGGAGAGGGGUUGCAGACAAAGCCUGACACUCCACAAUAAAGAGGGCAUCCCCUUGCAACAAAGAAAUCCUGUCCAGAGGUUUGGCGUAUAGUUUAGUGGCAGAGCAUUAGGUUCAAUCACCAAUUCAACCACAAAAAAAUAGAGAGAGAGAGAAGAAGAAUAUAAGGAAAGAAAAAAAUCAUCACAAACCACCACUUAUGACAAGAAUGAGAAACCCUAGUUCAGCACAGAUGAAAGAAGACAGAAUACCAUAAGAUAUAAAUAUAUAUCAAUAUUUUAGACAGUGAUUGAAAUAUUAAGACAAUAUACUGAGAAAACAGCAAUAAAUAAACAGCUUCUGCACAACCACUCACCCCCUUCUCUCUGCUGUCUUAGCAUUCUGUUGACAAUUAUUAUUGCUUUGGAAAAGACAUGUAUAAUAAUUGUGAAUGGUCUUUAAUUUUCUAAUGGUUUGGUCCUCUAUCCUUUUUCUUGGCUUUGCAGCAGUCCCAUCCCAUGAUUAGCUCCAGUACUCUCAAGGUGCACCCACCUCAGCAAGUCAUGAGAUCCACGUGUUGUGAAGUACUUUAAUGAGCUGAAGCUGGUGAGAAGUACCACUCCACCCUUGAGAGGCUCAUCUUCUCCCCACCAAGGACAGGCUAACCAAUACCAGUGCAGCUCAUAAUCAUGCACCCAGGAGGAGCAAGCAUGCUAGAACUCUUGCAAGGAGGGAAAGAAGCUUGACAGCCCAGGAUGGAAGAGGAGGAGACGCUGGAGAGAAAUGGCAACCUGGUCACUUGUCACAGCAUACGGGUCAAAUGGGUUGAGAUCAAACCCAGGGCUCCAGGCAUCCUCUGCCAAGUGCCCUACCUCUGAGAUGCAUCAUCAGCCCAUAAAACAAGAGGGCAUCCCAGUCAACAACCACAUCUUUCCAUUAUCAAACACAAAGCAAAAACCAUUCUUUGGCAGAAAAACAGAUCUCUGAAACAGAAAGCUCUCUCCGAGGAUGCAGGGUAUUUGGGAAUCAGGAAAGUUUUCUAAAAGCUGACGAUGAUAGGUACACAGUCUGUGACCACACUAAAAACCACAGUCGUGUGAGUUGGGAGAGUGAACUGUGUAGUGUAGGAACUGAAUCUUACCAGAACAGCAGCAUUAGGAUUAAGGGAAGCAAUGGGAGGUAGCUCAGUUGGGAGAGUUAUUGCCUAGCACCUGCUAAGCCCUGGCUCCUCUCCCCUGGCACUACACAGAACAGGUAUGGUGCCAUAGAUCUGGAAUCCUAGCACCUGGGAAGAGUGGAAAGAUGGCCACAAGUUCAAGGCCAGUCUGGUCUACAUAGCGGGUUCUAAGCCAGGGAUGUGAAGUGGUUCUGUCUCAAGAAACAAACAAGCAGGGGUGAUGGCUCAGUUAGCAAAGGGCUUGCUUUGCCAACACUAGGACUUGAGUUUUGUCCUAAGAACCUACAAACGUGAAGCCUGGUUGUACACACUUUUAAUCCCAGCAAUGAAGAGGUAGAAACAGGGAAAUCCCUGGGGCUUCCUGGGCAGCCAGUCUAACCUGAUUCCUGAGCUCCAGGGGGAUGAAAGACCCCACCUCAAAGGAGUGGACAGAGACCCUGAGGAUGACACUAAAGCUGUCACAUGGUCUCCAUGUGUAUGUGCAUGCUCACACAAAUAUGCUCUCUCUCCCUCCCUCUCUCUGUCUCUGUCUCUGUCUCUGUCUCUCUCUCUCUCUCACACACACACACACACUCAUUAUAAAUAAAAUAAGAAAUCAAAAGUAGAAGUUGUCCCACUCUAAAACCCAUCCAAUUUUUAAUCUAAUUGAAGGUCAUUAAACUAAAGAACAUAGUUAUAGAUAAUGAAUUCCUGGCAGAGCUGUUCACGGAUGUGGGGAGGCUGUGAAGAUACAGGGUUCUGGCUCCCGAAGCCCUGAGAGUAUCUGGACUUUAUCUUGCUUGAGGGACUGAAAAUCUCUAAAGAUUAUCACUAUUUGUUUUUUAUUAUACAGAUGUGUGUGUGUCCAUGUCCCAGGGAUCACAAUUAAGUGGUCAGGCUUGGUGACCAUGGUCUCUACUCACUGGGAUACCUUGCCAGCCAUUAAAAGAAAAUGUUUAUUAAUUUUUUUAUACAACAUUUUUUUUGAGACAGGGUUUCUCUGUGUAGCUUUGUAGAGCAGACUGGCCUCGAACUCACAGCAAUCUACUUGCCUCUGCCUCCCAGGUGCUGCAAUUAAAGGCGUGUAGCACCACCUUCUGGCUCUGUACAACAUAUUUUAAUCAUAUACUUUUCUCUCUCUCAGCUUCUCCACACCUCCU